rnacentral:sRNA from 1 species
GCGAAAUAAAGCCAGCCAUGGCCGAUUUGGACCGUAGAUAACUGGGGGUUAUUUCAUUCGCACGCGCGGGGCGACCCCGCCCACGCUCUAGUCGGCCGCGCUGGUGCAGGCGCCGCUUUCGACCUUCGUCAACGUGUCGCGUCGUUCGGCAUUUCGGUGAGUUACUUCGCCAACGUCUGCUAUCGGGAACAGCCUCGGGGUCACCUCACGGGCCGACAUGGGGCGGCGCAAAGCGGAAAUUGUUUCCGACUUUGGGGCCGAUGGCAGACCGUCUGGUUUCGGUCCCAGUAAGAGCGAGGCCACUAUGAGCGCAGCGCUUCUGUAGUGCGAGAUGGAGUUUCUUGUGCUCCACCGACGCACGCACACCUUUUCAAGCGUCGACUCGACUACGGGACGGGGCCGGGAGGUCACGCCCCGCAGUCACU